rnacentral:rRNA from 1 species
UUGAGAGUUUGAUCCUGGCUCAGAACGAACGCUGGCGGCAGGCCUAACACAUGCAAGUCGAGCGAGACCUUCGGGUCUAGCGGCGGACGGGGGAGUAACGCGUGGGAACGUACCCUCUUCUGCGGAAUAGCCACUGGAAACGGUGAGUAAUACCGCAUACGCCCUUCGGGGGAAAG